UACGUAGGGUGCGAGCGUUGUCCGGAAUUAUUGGGCGUAAAGAGCUCGUAGGCGGCUUGUCGCGUCGGAUGUGAAAGCCCGGGGCUUAACUCCGGGUCUGCAUUCGAUACGGGCAGGCUAGAGUUCGGUAGGGGAGACUGGAAUUCCUGGUGUAGCGGUGGAAUGCGCAGAUAUCAGGAGGAACACCGGUGGCGAAGGCGGGUCUCUGGGCCGAUACUGACGCUGAGGAGCGAAAGCGUGGGGAGCGAACAGG
rnacentral:rRNA from 1 species